rnacentral:rRNA from 1 species
AAAGCCCUGGGCUCAACCUAGGAAUCGCAUUUGAAACUGACAAGCUAGAGUACUGUAGAGGGGGGUAGAAUUUCAGGUGUAGCGGUGAAAUGCGUAGAGAUCUGAAGGAAUACCGGUGGCGAAGGCGGCCCCCUGGACAGAUACUGACACUCAGAUGCGAAAGCGUGGGGAGCAAACAGGAUUAGAUACCCUGGUAGUCCACGCCGUAAACGAUGUCUACUUGGAGGUUGUGACCUAGAGUCGUGGCUUUCGGAGCUAACGCGUUAAGUAGACCGCCUGGGGAGUACGGUCGCAAGAUUAAAACUCAAAUGAAUUGACGGGGGCCCGCACAAGCGGUGGAGCAUGUGGUUUAAUUCGAUGCAACGCGAAGAACCUUACCUACUCUUGACAUCCAGAGAAUCUAGCGGAGACGCUGGAGUGCCUUCGGGAGCUCUGAGACAG